GAUGAACGCUGGCGGCGUGCCUAAUACAUGCAAGUCGAGCGAAUGGAUUGAGAGCUUGCUCUUAUGAAGUUAGCGGCGGACGGGUGAGUAACACGUGGGUAACCUGCCCAUAAGACUGGGAUAACUCCGGGAAACCGGGGCUAAUACCGGAUAACAUUUUGAACCGCAUGGUUCGAAAUUGAAAGGCGGCUUCGGCUGUCACUUAUGGAUGGACCCGCGUCGCAUUAGCUAGUUGGUGAGGUAACGGCUCACCAAGGCAACGAUGCGUGGCCGACGUGAGAGGGUGAUCGGCCACGCUGGGACUGAGACACGGCCCAGACUCCUACGGGGGGCAGCAGUAGGGAAUCUUCCGCAAUGGACGAAAGUCUGACGGAGCAACGCCGCGUGAGUGAUGAAGGCUUUCGGGGCGUAAAACUCUGUUGUUAGGGAAGAACAAGUGCUAGUUGAAUAAGCUGGCACCUUGACGGUACCUAGCCAGAAAGCCACGGCUAACUACGUGCCAGCCGCCGCCGUAA
rnacentral:rRNA from 1 species